rnacentral:tRNA from 1 species
GGAAGUAGCUCAAUUGGUAGAGCAUCAGCCUUCCAAGCUGAGGGACGUCGUGCAGAGAAUCAUUUAUGAUUCU